ACAUGCCUUUUCACCAUAGCAAAUGGAUUGGAAUACAGCCUCAUAAUGUGCAGAGACCUGAGGCUGUGGCUACAAAGUCAUCCCAAUAUCCUCUCUAGGUCUGCCUCUGUUUUACCCUUUUACUUUUGAACUAAUUAUUGCCUUGCCAGGAGUUUGGAUAAAACCCAAGCCUUGACACGGCCUUAAUGAGUGCCUGCAUGAUCGUGUGCCUAAAGGUCUGUUUCUGGCCUAUCUUACCUCAGUCCAUUCUCAUUCUUCCCAAUCCAGCCAUCUCCUCAGCCCCUCAAUCAACGCUUCCUCAGAGCACCACAGCUAUAUACCUUACUCUCCAGUCCAGCCCACACUAGUACUGUCUGAGCUCUGGCCCUCAUACAUGGCCCACAGAAGCUGUGCUCUUUGAAUGUCCAGUUCUUUUGGGUGCAGUUUAAUGACAAUGAUUGUGAAUGUUUCUAAGGACAUUGGCCCAGGCAUGAUGAGUGACAAGCCACAAAACUUCCUAUCAAGAGGACCAGUUCUCCAGGAGCUGAAACCAAGAAAAUGCCCUGGAGAAGCAUUCUCCUUACUGAGAUCUGAUUUAGAUGAUGAGAUCCUAGACUUCAAAGCUAAGGCCUAAAUGGGAUGAAACUUGGGAAAUUGGAGGGAAAGCAUGAGUAUAUUUAACAUGGCUGGCUGGUUCCAUUUACACCGUAGGAAGAAGAACUCACCAGAGUCCUGACUUUUCUUCUGGGUGACAGAGAUUCAGAACAACAGCACCUCUGGCACCUCAAAAUGAAGUCAGUGUGUUAAGAUAAUUACUGAGCACUUACUGUGCACCAAGCAUAAUGCUGGACACUGGGAUAUAUUGUGAACCAAUGACACCAAUUUGGUUUCUGCCCUCACAGUGAUGCUGUGGGUCACAGCCAUUUGAUGUGACAAGGAGAGGGACAUAAAUAAAGUCAUGGUAUAGAAGCCUCAAAAGCCUAAUAAUAAGGGUUUGAAGUCUCCGCUGCACAGCUGGGAGGAAACCAGCAAUGAAUUCUAGGUUUCACCCCUUCUGGGUAGGUCAUGAAGCUGAUCUACCCACAUUCAUCUACUCUUGAGGUAUAAUUGGAGUUCUCUUGGCACAAUGAACCAAUCCCCUCUUGAGGUAGGGAAUACAUGGCUAAAUCCUUAGAUGGAAGUUUGGUGUCCUGAGAUCUUAUUGCACCUCACUCAGCAGCUAGUUGUUAACUCUGCGACCCUUUGUGCCUACAUUUCCUCAUCUGUGAAAUGAGAGGGUCCUUCUUUUACAGAAAAAGAAAGUUCGGUACAAACCCAACAUGAAACAAGAAAUAUGAAGCUUCUCUGGUUGAAUAGAAUGGAGGAGCUUCACCUGAUGAGACCCACAGCCUCAUCUCUGAGCCCAGAAGAGUCUCAGAGGAAGUCAGAUGAUAGCAGAGCAAAGUUUGAAAUUAUCAACUGGGUAUUGUCUCAAGCUCCUUCCACCCCCAAAACUUGCAAAAAGCAUAAUUCCAAUCAUACUGUUUGAUUGACUUAUGUUCUCUGUCUGAGAAAAAUACCUGAGCUUGUUCAUAGUGAAUGAAGUAUGGGUAUUAUUCUAUUCUCACCAAGAAUGGAAAAAUAAUUUUAAUAAAGAAUAAAUAAUU